UACGUAGGGUGCAAGCGUUUGUCCGGAAUUAUUGGGCGUAAAGAGCUCGUAGGCGGUCUGUCGCGUCGAAUGUGAAACCCGGGGCUCAACCCCGGGCCUGCAUUCGAUACGGGCAGACUAGAGUUCGGUAGGGGAGUCUGGAAUUCCUGGUGUAGCGGUGAAAUGCGCAGAUAUCAGGAGGAACACCGGUGGCGAAGGCGGGACUCUGGGCCGAUACUGACGCUGAGGAGCGAAAGCGUGGGGAGCGAACAGG
rnacentral:rRNA from 1 species